GACGUAGGGUGCGAGCGUUGUCCGGAUUUAUUGGGCGUAAAGAGCUCGUAGGCGGCUCGUCGCGUCAGCUGUGAAAACCCGGAGCUUAACUGUGGGCUUGCGGUCGAUACGGGCAUCACUGGAGUUCGGUAGGGGAGACUGGAAUUCCUGGUGUAGCGGUGAAAUGCGCAGAUAUCGGGAGGAACACCAGUGGCGAAGGCGGUUGCCUGGUCGUGUAACUGACGCUGAUGCGCGAAAGCGUGGGGAGCGAACCGG
rnacentral:rRNA from 1 species